rnacentral:lncRNA from 1 species
AGUACUUGGUCAGUUGGUGCCUAUCUGACCGUAGCCUCCCCUGCCCUGUUGGAGCUGGGCACGUAGGAUUGUGGGCCUGGGGCAGGUCUCUGUGCUGGGCAUUGUGGUGCCAAAAGCUUCACAUGGGUUGUGGUACAAAUGAGCUUUGGCUGGCUGGUUCGAGAAUCAGAGGCUGGAGUUAGGAAGAACUGUGGGGUCCAAACUUCCCUCCCUCCCACUGAGUUGCAUAGAUGCAGAAGCAAAUUCUAUAUAUUCAUUCAGUAUGUUGAUUAGGAAACUAUUGCCAGGGACUAUUUCAGGCACAGAAGAUACAUUCGUGAAUAAAACAUACAAAAGUUCUUGCAGUUGUGGAGCUUAUGUUCUGUUGGAGAGACAGACAUAAACAGAAGCAAUGUGUUAGAAGCGCUCUAGGAAUGUAGAGCAGGAUAAGGGAGAUCAGAAGGCUGGGAAGUGGGGGAAGAGAUCAGGGUGGAUCUCCUUGACACAGUGACAUUUGAGCAAAGAGGAGUGGAGGGGGUAAAGUCAUGAGGAUCUGGAGAAAGCGUCCCAGACAGAGGGGACAGCCAGUAUAAAGGCUUGAAGGCGGGAUAGAGUGAGUGGGGAGAAGAUUGUAGGGAAAGAGGCUGGAAGAGUAAUUGACAGACACCUAGAGUAGGCCUUGCAUGCCAUUGGAAGCAUUUUGGCUUUUAUUCUUGGGUCAGAUGGAAAGCCAUUGGUGUGUUCUCAGCUGUGUAGUAUCUGAUCCUCUGAAAGGAUCACUGUGACUGCUAUGUUAACUACAGGGGGGCAAGUGAGGGGAUAAGGUGGGAGGCUACUGAACUAGUCCGAGGGAGAGAGAAUGAGGGCUUUGAGCAAUGGAGCAGGGCAGCUGGUGAUUGGGUUUGGGGUUAAUUUUGAAGUCAGGCAGCAGGAUUUCCUGCUGGAUUGAAAGUAAGUUAUGAGAAGGGAAUUAAGGAUGGCUGUGAGGUUUUGGCCUUGGAAGCCAUUGGAAGGGUAGAGUUCAUCAAAUGAGAUGGGGAGGACGUUGAGAGGAACAGGUUUGACUGGAAAAAAAAGUUAGGUUUUAGUCAUCUGAAAAUUUGAAAUGCCUGUUUAGAAUCCAAGUCCAGAGGUGGAGUAGGUGAUGGGAAGGGUGGAGUUCAGGGGCAAGAUCUGGUCCCGAGCUACAAAUUUAGAGACGGCCAAGGUGCUGGAGUGGGCACAGAGAAGAUUUCAAAGGAUGAUGCAGCUCUGGGCCCUCCAGCAUUGAGAAUGGGGAGAAAGAGAGGAGCCAGAGAGAUAGGGGACCUGGGUAUGGUGUCCUGGAAGCCUGGUGACAAAAAGACACCUGGAGGGGGAAGUAAUCAGCCACAGCACGUGAGCCAGUAGGUUGAGUGAGAGGAGCACUGAGAAUUAACCAUUGGAGUUAGCAGGUGGGAAGUCUUUAGUGCUCAUAGCAAUUUUGGUGGCACAUAAUGGGGGAAAGCCCUAACUAGAGUGUGUUGGAGAGGGAAUGCAAGGAGAAGAAUUGGAGACGGUGAGAGAACAGACCAAUGAUUCUCAAAGUUUUUGGUCUGAAGGCCCCGUUACACUCGUGAAAUUGAGGACUCAGAGAGCUUUUGUUUGGGGUGUUAUCUGUGGAUAUUUGUGGUAUUAGAAAUUGAAGCUGAGAAAUGUUUUAUAUGUUUCUUUCAAGUGAAGAAUAAUAAAUCGGUUGCAUGUUAACAUAAGUAUCAUAAUUUAUGAGAAAUAACUUCAAAAUAAAAAAUAUUUAGUGAGUGACAUUGUUUUAUAUUUUUGCAAAUCUCUCUAAUAUCUUCCGUAAUAGCUGGACUCUUGUAUUUGCUUCUGCUCUGUAACCUGGUGCCAUGUCACUCGUCAUGUAACUUCUGGAGAACUCCACUAUACACUUAGGAGAAAAUGAAAGUGAAAAAGGUUGAUCCUCGGGACCCACAGUCUCAUCAUGUCUCGCACACAGGACGGCAGAGGGUACAGGUGGUGGCUUGGUCGGUUGGCGAUCUCCCGACAGCUGGAUCUCCGGCAAUGUGAAGCUUUUGGGUUUUCCUCCUCCUUUUAGUUUCACUUAAUUUUUUUAAUUUUCUUUUCUUUUUUGUCUUUUUCUUUUCUUUUCUUUUUUUAAUUUAAACGAUUAAGACUUCAGAAGAGCAGGAAGCUAUGCUGUGGACAGGCACCAAUUUCUUUAAAGAAAUUCAACAUGGACAAAGCAUACGUAUAAGUUUCCUUUCUAAUUUUUAUAAGGGGUUUGGGAGCUAUUUUGUUUUUGUCCUUUAUAUUUCCCUGUUGUCUUUCUUGUACCCAUCUCUCAGCUCUGCGUAUCACACCUCACUUCCCCAGAGAAGGCCUGCCUCUCCGGGGAGAAUUUUGGGAUUUCUCCUGGGAUGGGGGCAUUAAGACAGAAGGAGGCAUUGGGCCACCUCCCCACCAGAUGCAGGAACGGCCGGACUCUGGCGGCUGCUCCUGUCUAGCCCUGGGGCCUUGGAAAUGAUCAGAGGCAAAGAACACCUGGAAGAAGAAGGCCAGGGUUUGGCCAGGAGAACUUGAGAAAGAAGGUCUAACCUGUGCGCUUGUUCUCUUUACGUCGUCGGAAGCCCCGGGCCACACCAGGCCUUAUAGUGGGGGGACUCCAUUCCCUCUUCUGCCCUUUCUGACCGGGAGCUCUGAGGAGGGACAGAAGGUGACCAUCUCCCACUUCCUGGCAGUUGAGCGGCCAGCGCCCCAGUUCUGCAAGCCCACCUUUCCAGAGGAAGUUCCCCAGGAAAAAACUGUCGUGCCAAACCUCUGCCCGGGACACAGCGGGGUCUUCCUCGGGCAUUUGUCACUCCUGUGAGGUCAGCACCCACCACCUACUGCCUCCUGGAUUGUCUUCCUCCUAGAUGUGUUCACCAAAUGUCCAGGUUAUCACAGAGACUGCCGAUGUCCCUGAGAUCCAGUUGUGACCAUUGCCAUAAGAACAGGGUGUCCUGAACUGGCCGCCACUGUCAUCUCCUGGCAGUGAAGGGUGUGCCCUGUAUGCUGGGCGCCAUGGUGUCACAUAUGGUGACAGUGUCAGGCACCAUCUCCCUCACUCCCAGGGACUUACUGUUAGGUGUCUACCCUCCAUGUAAAUGUGUCUGGUGGGAAAAGAGUGGACCUGCAGAGAGGUGACCAGGUGGACACCCCGCAGCCGCUAGGUGUCCAUCUGGGGCCUGGCCACUUUAAAGCUUCCCGACGUGACUCCUUCGACCUCACCGCCAGUGUGGAUCUAAGCACCUCUGUGUAACCGUGCUGACACUCCUUACUGAUGCUCUUGCAGCCGCCGCCCUCGCAGGCUUCUGAACCUGUCUGUUCUGUCCCCUUGCAAGGAGGGUGGGAGGCGCUAUUCCUGUGUUGUCCCUCUCACCAGGAAACAACUUUGGCUUCUCCAAAGGCUUUUCACCCGAUUAUGGCCGAGCAGGAAAGGGGCUUUGGGGAAGGAGAAAGGAAUUCCUCUUUUGUGUUUAAUUUUGUUUUUUGUUUUCUCUAAGCCAGCAUAGGUUCAAUAGGGGAGAUAGUUGGAGGGCAGUUAAGUUGAUGUGUGACCAAGGGGGGCUUCCCCCUAAAAGCAGCAGUCCUUUGGCGCUGGCAGUUUGGGAGAGACCAGCACGGCAUCAGACCAGACUCGGCAAUAUGUUCACUCACGUUGUUUUCCCAACCCCUCAAAUACUAAGGCUACUCUUCCUCCUGGGCAGACGAUUGGCUGUGGUUGGCAGAUCCGGCAGGGCUGCAGGUGGUACCCAGGCCCCUCCCUUCCUUGGCUGAAAUCCUUGGUGAUCGCCUGUCUCUCGGCUCUUCUCUGACUUCCCAGGCGACCUCCUGAGUGUAGCCUGAGCCGCAGCUGGAGGCUUGGUUGAGCGGCAUCCCCUCAUUGCAGUGUGCCCUCCUUCUCGGCCCCACCACCCUGCUUCCCUGGGGGCGGCUGUCUCUGUACAGGAGCAGAUGGGAAAAACAGUCCCCGGACUCGGCACCCCCAGCUCUCCCUGGCUCCAGCCCAUGCUCUAAAGUCCCUAGUGAGGGCUCAAGCCUGACAAGUCAUUCACCUUUUGCUUAAUCUUUUUUCUGCCCUCCCUGGUCUCAGCUCUGUCUAAACAAGGUCUUGGAGCUGUAGUGCUCCCCUUUAUUUUUCUUGGCACCAGAGUACCCCCUGUGGGUCACAGGAUGCCCAUACCUUUCGGGUGAACAGGCAACCAGCUUCCAUGCACCCUUAUCUGCAGGACUCCCAGCCAUCCUUGCUUGUUGAUGGGACCUCCUUCCCUAGGUCAUGAGGGCCAGCUCGUUAGCCCCCAAGUGCCUCCCUGUCCCUCUGCUGCUCUCUCCACUCAGUCCGCCUCAGGCACCCGGCCUGUUAGGUGGGAGUCAGCCUGGAGUGAGCGCUGCCUCUGCCCAGUCAGUGGCCCAGCCUUGGGGUCUGGCUCGGGGAGCUCCUGUCACCUUUCUUAGCCAUUUUCCACCUCUUCCCACCGUGGGUCCGCUUCCUCGCCUCUUCCUGCCGUUUCACCCUCUCCACCUGGGUCUUGGGCCUGGCAACAACCCUGUGGUGCGUCAUCUGAGUGCCACCAAGUUUGUUAGGCCUGUCCAAGUUCUAGGAGUUUCCAAACCUUAAAAUAGCAGUCAGUUAUUCUCUUCUCUCUGGAUCUGUGAAAAGGAUAGCCUCUUGGAGGGAGGUUCCGGGCCUCAGCCCCAUGGGUCUGAGCUCGGUUUCCCUUCAGGGAGAAGAAUCAGCAAGACAGAUCUUAGUGCCUUACUCCAUUGCCCUCCCCUCACCAGGCCACCUGGCUCAGUAGGAAGUACGCAUCUUUCUCCCUGUCUGGGUCCAUCUGUCACUUAAACUCUGUUCCCACUCACAGAUAGUCUAUGGGCAGGAUUACUCCCCCACAUGACCUCCCGACCCCUUCCUGCGGGCUGUGUCCAGGCACAUGUCUCCCCGCCCACCACCAGGGCACUCACUAGCAGCUUUAGCCGAGGACAGGAGAACUGUGCUUCAGACAGGUGCGCGUCUCUGCGUCUCACUACCCAGCAGGUCCCCUGCUUCUUACCUCUAGCCAGGAGGAUGCCACAGUCUGUUCACUCAAGAUGCUCCAUCUGACCCCCUUCUGGGCACUGGGGACUAAGGUCUCAGGCCUUAGUCUCAUCUCAUCCCAGAGGCAUUGGGACAGGAGAAUAGGAACUCUUUCCUCCCACCCGGACAUGGUUUGCCCACCUUGGCUGCCUUUCUGAGGGAGUGUAUUCAAUGUUUACUUAAGAAGUACCCUGUUUACAGCUGGAGGAGAAGUGUGCCCAACAGUGGGUGGAGCUCUGACUCUCUGGACAUGUAUGGCCUCAUGUAUGGCACGGCCAGUGGUGGUCCCAGAGCGAAUGAAGGCAGAGACGCCAGGGGCAGGGGUGCGCGCCCUGGACUUUCCCUGCCCCCUGGCCCUGCGGUGCUAAGACCACUCACCACCUUUCUCACAGCCCUCGUCCCCCUGGACGUUCCCACCUCUGUCAUUCCCUUCCUCCAAGGUUCUCAGCUCCUGAACAUAUCACUUGUCUCCUAGAAAGCCAGCGUUUGGAGCAAUAAGAUGAUUAUUUUUGCUUGAGUCUUUUUCUAAGAAAAGGAAAAGAGCUGGCAUUAUGGGAAUCUUCUUUCUUUUUAUGCUGUUGGCUGUUUACCUUCUUAGAAGACAGAUCUUAAUAGGAUGGAUGCCUGGGUUUCAGCCUUGGGGUAUCUUUUGGAAGCUUGGGAAAGCAAGAGUUGGGCUUUCACCCCCUAAGGAGGGGACCCUCUCUGCCCUCUCCUUGCUCCAUGCCAAGGCUGCCUGAGCUCCCAGCCCUGCCUGCCAGGUACACCUCCCACCUUUGAUCCUGCUCAUGCGCCCCACACACAGACAUCUGGGGGCACCGGUGGCUCUGAUUCUAAGUGGGGCUCUUGGGUUAUUGCUCCCCAAUGACUCUUUUCCCCUUCCUGGGCCUUAUGGCAGCCCCCAGGCAGAGAUGGCUACCAGAGUCUCCUAGGAACUGGCAACUUGACAACAGCCAAGCUUGCACUCAGCUCUUCAGGCCACCAGGCCCAGAGGGAGUGCCAUGGCCAUUCUCGCACACCAGGCUGAGGCACAGCGUUCGGGACAACACAAGCCCAUCUCUGAUCCUGCCUGCCUAGGUCUAGGGGCAGGGUCUCCUGUCUGGAGAGGCCCUCGGGGACACCAGGAGGUGUGCCAGGAAGGUGGGCUGAUGUGAGCGUCUGCAGCCCUCACCAAGAGACGAAUCCACUGCCGCAAGUUCCCCGGAGCUCCCCUAGGAUUGCAGGGGUUGACAGAAAGGAGACCCCAGCUUCUUAUUGCAUGAGAGGCCACAGGACGAAAGGGGUUUAUUUAGGGACACUUUAAAGAAAUCUUUUGUGCCCCAGGGGCCUCUCUCCAUCAGAGCAGGAGAGUAUGUUGCAACGAUUUAACAUUCGUGUGGGGCCAACUUGGGUGUGAGGGAGGUUUUAACCGAGGCACAAAGUUAGUUUCAAAUACUAGUUAAUAAAUCUAUUUUUCUUUAUUUUCUUUUUUUGCACAGAAGCUGGUAAUCUAGGACCUACGUGUGAACAACUUUAUAUGAAUAUUUUUUGUACUUGGUUUACUUGGGUUGGUAUGAUACAUUAUAUUUAAGUUCCUUGAACACUGUGGAUCCCCCUAAUGUGUAUGGAUGACUGAGGCUUUGUAAAUUAAGGGACGUUUGUGUGAAUAAAGUUAUUUUAUGGGGUCAAAGAAGCCAUAUGUGAUUUGAAAA